AUACGGAGGGUCCGAGCGUUAUCCGGAAUUAUUGGGUUUAAAGGGUCCGUAGGCGGGCCAUUAAGUCAGGGGUGAAAGUAUGCGGCUCAACCGUAGAAUUGCCUUUGAUACUGAUGGUCUUGAGUUAUAGUGAAGUUGGCGGAAUAUGUAGUGUAGCGGUGAAAUGCAUAGAUAUUACAUAGAACACCGAUUGCGAAGGCAGCUGACUAACUAUAUACUGACGCUGAGGGACGAAAGCGUGGGGAGCGAACAGGAUUAGAAACCCUAGUAGUCC
rnacentral:rRNA from 1 species